GUCGAUGGCCGUGGACGCAGCAGGGCCCCGCGGUCUGCGUGCGGGCAGGCGCUCGUGGGCGUGUCUCCCUGGCCCACGCGUGUCCCCGGCAUCAGUGUCUCGGCUCUGGUCCAGGACGAAGACUUCUGAAAGCAAGCCAAGGAGAAUCGCAGUUCUUACCGGAGGGAGCCCCUGACUGCCCGGUGGAAGGAGGUGGUUUAGAAGACAGUGAGUUGAUCUGGGGGCAAAGCAAAGCAUCGGUAGUGCCUUCCAUCCCCUCACUUUACACUGCAUGGCUGUCUUCUCCCACGCAUGAAGCAACAUGGCCAAGUGAAGCUGCAACCAGUAAAGUCACAGGAUGUUUCUUGGCUUCAAACCAUUUGGAUAAGCGAUGUCAGCAAGCUUCGCCGCUGUAAAGUCACCUCUUUAUAAGAAGACAGGAGCUCUUUGUAAAGAAUAUGAGACCUGAGGCUGGGGGAUGGCUGAGAAGGGAAAAGCACCUCUGCACAGGUGUGAGGAAAGGAGUUUGUUCUUCCAAAUCCAUGUAGAAAUCUUGAUGCUGUGUCAUGAAUCCCAGCACUCCUACGGGAAGAUGGGAGGCGGAGGCAGGAGUUCAUCUGGAAGCUUGAGGCCAGCCACCCAGAUCCUCAGAGCUGCAGACAAAAGAGAGGCCCUGCAGCAAAAGCGUGGAAGGUGAGAACCAACUCCGGAAAGUUGCCCUCUGACCUUUACAAGUGUAUAUGUCCACAUACAGACAAUAAAAUCAAUUGCUUCACUU
rnacentral:lncRNA from 1 species